CAAAACCUCAUCCAAAGCCUCCAGUGCAUCCCCAUCCACCUUAUGUCCCAAAACCACCAGUUGUGCCAGUUACACCACCAUAUGUUCCAAAACCACCAAUUGUGAACCCUCCCUAUGUCCCAAAACCGCCUGUUGUGCCAGUUACACCACCUUAUAUCCCUAAACCACCAGUUGUGACACCACCAUAUGUCCCUAAACCACCAGUGGUGCCAGUUACACCACCAUAUGUCCCUAAACCACCAGUGGUGCCAGUUACACCACCUUAUGUGCCAAAACCACCCAUUGUGAAACCACCAAUUGUUUAUCCACCAGUUGUGCCAAAACCACCAAUUGUUACACCACCUUAUGUGCCAAAACCACCCAUUGUGAAACCACCAAUUGUUUAUCCACCAGUUGUGCCAAAACCACCAAUUGUUACACCACCUUAUGUGCCAAAACCACCCAUUGUGAAACCACCAAUUGUUUAUCCACCAGUUGUGCCAACACCACCUAUUGUGUAUCCACCUGUUGUACCAACUCCAC
rnacentral:lncRNA from 1 species